rnacentral:rRNA from 1 species
CAAUAGCGUAUAUUGAAGUUGUUGCGGUUAAAAAGCUCGUCGUUGGAUUUCUGUUGAGGUCGAACAGUGCCGCCCUAUGGGUGCGCAACUGGCUCGGCUUCGGCAUCUUCUUGGAGAGCGCAUCUGCACUUAACUGUGUGGAUCGUACUUCAAGUCAGUUACUUUGAGGAAUUGUGAGUGUUUCAAGCAGGCUUACGCCGUUGAAUCCGUUAGCAUGGAAUAAUAGGAUAGGACCUCGGUUCUAUUUUGUUGGUUUUGAGAGCUGGGGCAGCGAUUGAUAGGGACGGAUGGGGGCGUCCGAACUUUCCUGUCAGAGGUGAAAUUCUUAGAUCGGUCAAAGGCGAACUACUGCGAACGCAUUCGCCAAGAAUGUUUUCUUUAA